rnacentral:sRNA from 1 species
CUGCUCAGGAUGAUUAGGACUUAGAGUUACUCAUUUGACCAAAUGGUCUCUCAGAACCAUCCCUUUUGCUUGGGGCCCAUGGAAUAUUUUACCUCAGACCAUGGAGCAUUGAUCCCUCUGUUGAAGGUUCACUGAAAUCCAAAAGGAGGGAGCAAAUCCUGGAAUCUCAUGCUACUUCCUUGUGUAAGGUCACAUGAUAUGUUGUGAAGUCAUCAGUCUGGUGCUCAUUUCUUUUUGGUUGAAUAUAGUUUUUAGGAGGCAAUCAGGCUUAGGACACCCCCAACUUUUCUUGAAUCAUGGAAUCUAUAUUCAGUCUCUUGCAGAUUCAGCUAAAGAUGUGUAUAUGCUAGACUGUGAAGUACCAUUAGAAGAUGAAGCAAUGUAGGACCUCUUGAGCUAUUUUCAAGGUAAACUGGAGGUUCACUUGGGAUGCAAUGAAGAGCCCCUGACAAGCAUAUUCUUCAAAGCCUCCCAUGGUGUAACUGAAGAUACGAUAUGUGAAGUAGCCCUAGCUUGCCUGCUCAAGGCAUCUGCAGAUACUACCUUUUGAGGAAUGAAUCCUUCUCAGGAGACAAUAGACGGAACCUGCACUUCAAUGAUAAUUAAAUGGCACUUCAAGAUAUCAAAUCAAAAUAUCAAAGUGAGAAUGGAAUAAAUUUAUUAGUACAGUGUUUUGCAAACAACUUCUUUCACA